GAGGAAGGGAGUAAAGUUAAUACCUUUGCUCAUUGACGUUACCCGCAGAAGAAGCACCGGCUAACUCCGUGCCAGCAGCCGCGGUAAUACGGAGGGUGCAAGCGUUAAUCGGAAUUACUGGGCGUAAAGCGCACGCAGGCGGUUUGUUAAGUCAGAUGUGAAAUCCCCGGGCUCAACCUGGGAACUGCAUCUGAUACUGGCAAGCUUGAGUCUCGUAGAGGGGGGUAGAAUUCCAGGUGUAGCGGUGAAAUGCGUAGAGAUCUGGAGGAAUACCGGUGGCGAAGGCGGCCCCCUGGACGAAGACUGACGCUCAGGUGCGAAAGCGUGGGGAGCAAACAGGAUUAGAUACCCUGGUAGUCCACGCCGUAAACGAUGUCGACUUGGAGGUUGUGCCCUUGAGGCGUGGCUUCCGGAGCUAACGCGUUAAGUCGACCGCCUGGGGAGUACGGCCGCAAGGUUAAAACUCAAAUGAAUUGACGGGGGCCCGCACAAGCGGUGGAGCAUGUGGUUUAAUUCGAUGCAACGCGAAGAACCUUACCUGGUCUUGACAUCCACGGAAGUUUUCAGAGAUGAGAAUGUGCCUUCGGGAACCGUGAGACAGGUGCUGCAUGGCUGUCGUCAGCUCGUGUUGUGAAAUGUUGGGUUAAGUCCCGCAACGAGCGCAACCCUUAUCCUUUGUUGCCAGCGGUCCGGCCGGGAACUCAAAGGAGACUGCCAGUGAUAAACUGGAGGAAGGUGGGGACGACGUCAAGUCAUCAUGGCCCUUACGACCAGGGCUACACACGUGCUACAAUGGCGCAUACAAAGAGAAGCGACCUCGCGAGAGCAAGCGGACCUCAUAAAGUGCGUCGUAGUCCGGAUUGGAGUCUGCAACUCGACUCCAUGAAGUCGGAAUCGCUAGUAAUCGUGGAUCAGAAUGCCACGGUGAAUACGUUCCCGGGCCUUGUACACACCGCCCGUCACACCAUGGGAGUGGGUUGCAAAAGAAGUAGGUAGCUUAACCUUCGGGAGGGCGCUUACCACUUUGUGAUUCAUGACUGGGGUGAAGUCGUAACAAGGUAACCGUAGGGGAACCUGCGGUUGGAUCACCUCCUUA
rnacentral:rRNA from 1 species